rnacentral:rRNA from 1 species
CCUACGGGAGGCAGCAGUUUCGAAUCAUUCACAAUGGGCGAAAGCCUGAUGGUGCCACGCCGCGUGAGGGAUGAAGGUCUACGGAUUGUAAACCUCUGUCCUAGAAGAGAUGCCAAGUUCUAACACAGCUUGGUUUGACUGAACCCGCAGAGUAAGCAGUGGCUAACUCCGUGCCAGCAGCCGCG